AUGCUAUGGACUUGUAGAUGGGAGAGUUUCAGGUGUGUGUGGUGGCUGAGUGUUGUGCUUCUUAGUCUGGUCCAUGGAAACAACUUAAGUCAUCAGUUCCAGGAGAGGCCAUCCUGCCGGCCAGGUUUCUACUGCCCUUUGUGGGACUUCAUUCCAGUCCCUUGUCCCAGAGGAACCUAUGGGCCAACUUCUGGUGCAACGUCCAUCGACAGCUGUUUCAAGUGUCCUGCUCAGCACUUCUGUCCUGGACCAGGCCUGUCCGCCUCCCUGCCCUGUGGUCCUGAGGCUCAGCAGCCUCUCUCUGGUCAAGACACCUGCGUUUGUCUGGGAGAGGGACAGAUUUUCCAGACCAGUGAUGGGAGGUGCCACUGCACCAUCGGCUACCAACCUGCCAACAAUGGAGAGGCGUGCGUACACAAACUCUACUAUGUCUGCAGAGAUGGAAGAACUCGUUCACAGUACGGAGACUGUCUGGACAGAUAUCAGUGGUUACUUCAUUGCAGGCAACAGGUUAGGCUUUGUUCAAUUGUAUCACACACAGAUGCAGGCCUGCACACUAGUAGAGCAAAGGUUAUCUAUAACUUAUCCUGACGAUCUGAGUGAAUGACGCUUAAGGAUUUUGAUGGACUGCAGAUGAGGUCUGUUUACAGAACACACUGAAAAAACAAGCGCUGCAUUCAUAGAACAAGGCUAAUCAUUACAACCUAGAUGUCUUUGGCCUUUCCGCCAUGAACCUGACAACAGUUUACCUGGCAGAGGGUUAGUUCCACUUAAUAUUUAACCAUUAACUACUUCCUGUGACUGUCAGUUAGUGAGGCCCGCACUGUGCUACCCAUUUGUGUCACUGCGCUCCAUAGAAGUAUUCGGUACAAAUAACCUUACACCUAGUUACACACUCAAAC
ensembl:lncRNA